CAGCGUUUUUCACAUUUCCAUGGGUCUCCUUGGAGACGGUUGCUAUGAUCACUCAGUGUCCCUGGCUAAAAAUCUUCAAAAUGUGGACCGCUGCUUUUAUUCUCUCAUCUCCUCUUUAUUAGUGGUUUUGUCCUCACCCAGAGUUUAUUCCUCUAUGAAUGCAAUCUGCUUGAAGUUUUUUUUUUUUUUUUUUUUUUUAUCCUAGUAUUCCAGAGUAUCCCUGGUUCUUUUGGUUCCCCUAGAAAUGCUUUUAUUUGGAUUAUAACAUUUGGCAGCUCGCUUGGAAUAUCAUUUAUACUUUUAUGCUUCCUGAUUGCCUGGAAGUAAAUUAUUCAGAGGACAGUCCACCCUGCCCACCUCCUCUUUUUUCAAAAAUACUAAUUUGCCCUGGAAGAAACUAAGCAAUGACAAUGAAAACACUCGAUCUGUUGAUUCUUAUUAUGUUGCUUAUUUAACAAGCCUGGCUUGAAAUAUUUGAAGAUUAAUUUUACAACAUAUGUAUCUUUGACCAAAGUUAAUGGAAGUAUACUUUUAUUCGGUUCUGCAUGCAUUAGUCCCAUUUCAAAUACCUCACUUAUUUCCUGAUGGCUAUUUCUUACAAAUAGGUGAGAAGAAAAAGAACUCAAAGAGCCGAAUACACUAUAACAAAACCUAAGUCCUGACUGCUCAGUAAAUGGGGAAAGCUAAAAUGCAGUAUCUGAAAACAAUCUUAGCACUCUCCAAGCAAGGUCAGCUACGUUAUUGAAAUCUAGAAUUCAAAUGUAAAUUACAAGAGGAUCAUUCAAAGGGUUUCCAAAAUCCUAACUAGGUAAAUCUGCAGGAUAGAAAACACUAGAAGAAAAAUAUAUGGUAAAUGGAUCAUAGACAGACGCAGGGCUUCCUGUAGCUACCAUUAUUUUCGAAAAGAGGAACAACUCAGAGACAAAAACUAAAGCUCAAGUCUUCAAAGGAGGGAAUGCCAGUGCAGCAGGGUUACAAUCUCGUGAACCAGUGGCAGCAGGAUACAAAGGCAUUUUAUCAGUACAGUCGGUCAAAGCCGCAAAGAUCGUGGGCUCUGUGUACACUCCCUCCCACCUGCUCUGUGACCUUGGACAUCUACCCUUUCCAGUCUCCUCAGCUCCAAAAGAGGGAGGGUGAUGGUCCUACACCCCCCCCCCCAGGUUUAUCGUACUGCGAGGAUUAAAUUAAUGCAGACACUUCCACAUCUUCACCCUGAAGCUGUCAGGACAAUGGAAGAGUCUUGAACCACAGGUGUGGUCUUUUAAGACCAGGGUAGGCUGGACUCUGCUCUCACCUGCCAAAGAGCUGACCUAUAGGAAAUAAGUUCAAGCACUGUCCCCAGAAGGCAAAAAUUAUAUUGGUUUUACCAUCACCUGCAGAGAGAAUAUAAACGCACAAAAGAAAAUGUUAUGACGUCUAGAACCGUGAUCAACAACCUCCCACCGCAUAUCUGCUUUCGUUAUAUUUUUAACCUCCUAAUUCUGCUUUGUUACCAUGUCUCAUAGAUAUUACUAAAACAUUACUGUA